GCCGGGCGUUGUGGCAGGCGCCUGUGGUCCCAGCUACUUGGGAGGUGGAGGCAGGAGACUCGCUUGAGCCCAGGAGUUGGAGGUUGCUGUGAGCUGUAAUGCCAGGGCACUCUGCCCAGGGGGACAGCUUGAGGCACUGUCUCAAAAAACAAACAAACAAAAAGGAAAUGAAUGUUGAAGUUUUUUUUUUUUUUUUGGUCAACCGUAGUAGAAUACCUUGGCAUCACAGUUCACAGCAACCUCAGACUCUUGGGCUUAUGAGAUUCUCUUAC
rnacentral:sRNA from 1 species